GACGAACGCUGGCGGCGUGCUUAACACAUGCAAGUCGAACGGAAAGGCCCUGCUUUUGUGGGGUGCUCGAGUGGCGAACGGGUGAGUAACACGUGAGUAACCUGCCCUUGACUUUGGGAUAACUUCAGGAAACUGGGGCUAAUACCGGAUAGGAGCUCCUGCUGCAUGGUGGGGGUUGGAAAGUUUCGGCGGUUGGGGAUGGACUCGCGGCUUAUCAGCUUGUUGGUGGGGUAGUCGCUUACCAAGGCUUGGACGGGUAGCCGGCCUGAGAGGGUGACCGGCCACAUUAGGACUGAGAGACGGCCCAGACUGCUACGGGAGGCAGCAGUGGGGAAUAUUGCACAAUGGGCGGAAGCCUGAUGCAGAAACGCUGCGUGCGGGAUGACGGCCUUCGGGUUGAAAACCGCUUUCGCCUGUGACGAAGCGUGAGUGACGGUAAUGGGUAAAGAAGCACCGGCUAACUACGUG
rnacentral:rRNA from 1 species